CAAGUGUGUGUGUGUGUGUGUGUGUGUGUGUGUGUGUGUGUGUGUGUGUGUGUGUGUGUGUGUGUGUGUGUGUGUGUGUGUGUGUGUGUGUGUGUGUGUGUGUGUGUGUGUGUGUGUGUGUGUGUGUUUGUUUGUGUGUGUGUGCGAAAAGGCACAAGAGUGAGGCCAUUAGGGGAAGAAACUAUGGGGGAUGUAAUGUGCCUUAUAAAGUUAUGAGUGUGUAUCUGUGCAGAGUGUGUAUCUGUGCAGCGUGUGUGUGUGUGUGUGCGCAGGGUGCUUGUGGAGUGUUCAUGUUGUCUAUGGGUUAAUGGUGGAACUUCAAUCUGAAGAAUAGGUCAGAUUCACUUUGACAGAGUAAUUGAUUUGUGUGUUGCUGUCUACUAAUCCAGAAGCACAGAUAAAGAUUACACAGGCAGUAAGAGAUAACACUACAUCACAACAUCAGACUGCAUCACUUAUCAAUGCCAUUGGAGCGCUGCUUAGCCUCUCUGCUAUGAAGAAGAGCUCUUUAAAAAUGUCACCGUGCACAAAUUGGCUGUCUUCCUGCAAAACUGCGUGUGAAUUGUUAAUGAACUGCUGAUUUUGUGCUUUGGACUGGGCUCUGACGGUUUUAUAUGCAUAGCUAUCGGGUGUUAAUUGAGGUGUAUGGUAUGUGAAAUAAAACACUUUUGUUUUGUAUUUGUUUCUUUCUGACAGUGUGUCUUUUAGAAAAGGUACAGCCAAUUAACAUUUAAAUCAUUGCUCAAUAGAUACAAGAUACAUAUAGUCUAUAUACACCAUAUACAAAGAAAUACAGUGUUUUAGAGCAGUAACAAAGAGGUGAAGAAACAACCAGCUAGCCCUAGCUAACCCUAACCCUAGAUAAAGAUCACACAGGCAAUACAAGCUAACACUACAUCAGACUACAUCACUGAUCAAUGCCAGUAGCAGAAGGGUAAAGAAACACCCAGCUAGCCAUCACCAGAGACAGAUGAAGAUUACACAGGAAAUAAGAGAUAACAUUACAUCACCAGAGACCGGUGGUGGCGGGUGUGAGUGUAUUUCAAAUUGAACGGUAAUAUGCAUGUAACGCUUGGCUGUAGGUUACUUAAUAACUCGGUAAGGCUAAACUCAGCAGACGUGUAGGAGCAGGAGUGACCAUUUAUAACUUGACCACUAGGGGGAGCCAAUGUGUCUGGUUCCUUAUUGAAUCUAUGCUAUAUAAUUUGUUUGUGUUAGACACAUAAUGAACGUACAGUAGCCUAUAGCAACCCAGAUAGAGAAC
ensembl:lncRNA